GACGAGCGCUGGCGGCGUGCUUAACACAUGCAAGUCGAACGGAAAGGCCCUGCUUUUGUGGGGUGCUCGAGUGGCGAACGGGUGAGUAACACGUGAGUAACCUGCCCUUGACUUUGGGAUAACUUCAGGAAACUGGGGCUAAUCUCGGAUAGGAGCUCCUGCUGCAUGGUGGGGGUUGGAAAGUUUCGGCGGUUGGGGAUGGACUCGCGGCUUAUCAGCUUGUUGGUGGGGUAGUGGCUUACCAAGGCUUUGACGGGUAGCCGGCCUGAGAGGGUGACCGGCGACAUUGGGACUGAGAGACGGCCCAGACUCCUACGGGAGGCAGCAGGGGGGAAUAUUGCACAAUGGGCGGAAGCCUGAUGCAGCAACGCCGCGUGCGGGAUGACGGCCUUCGGGGUGUAAACCGCUUUCGCCUGUGACGAAGCGUGAGUGACGGUAAUGGGUAAAGAAGCACCGGCUAACUACGUG
rnacentral:rRNA from 1 species